AGGAUAUUAGUUAAAUUAUAACAUUAAAUUUGCUUUUUAAAAUUAAUAAUAUUUUAUAUCUUU
rnacentral:tRNA from 1 species